rnacentral:rRNA from 1 species
AGCGUCGGUGAGGUGAUAUGAACCGUUAUAACCGGCGAUUUCCGAAUGGGGAAACCCAGUGUGUUUCGACACACUAUCAUUAACUGAAUCCAUAGGUUAAUGAGGCGAACCGGGGGAACUGAAACAUCUAAGUACCCCGAGGAAAAGAAAUCAACCGAGAUUCCCCCAGUAGCGGCGAGCGAACGGGGAGGAGCCCAGAGCCUGAAUCAGUGUGUGUGUUAGUGGAAGCGUCUGGAAAGGCGCGCGAUACAGGGUGACAGCCCCGUACACAAAAAUGCACAUGCUGUGAGCUCGAUGAGUAGGGCGGGACACGUGGUAUCCUGUCUGAAUAUGGGGGGACCAUCCUCCAAGGCUAAAUACUCCUGACUGACCGAUAGUGAACCAGUACCGUGAGGGAAAGGCGAAAAGAACCCCGGCGAGGGGAGUGAAAAAGAACCUGAAACCGUGUACGUACAAGCAGUGGGAGCCUCUUAAUGGGGUGACUGCGUACCUUUUGUAUAAUGGGUCAGCGACUUAUAUUCUGUAGCAAGGUUAACCGAAUAGGGGAGCCGAAGGGAAACCGAGUCUUAACUGGGCGUUAAGUUGCAGGGUAUAGACCCGAAACCCGGUGAUCUAGCCAUGGGCAGGUUGAAGGUUGGGUAACACUAACUGGAGGACCGAACCGACUAAUGUUGAAAAAUUAGCGGAUGACUUGUGGCUGGGGGUGAAAGGCCAAUCAAACCGGGAGAUAGCUGGUUCUCCCCGAAAGCUAUUUAGGUAGCGCCUCGUGAAUUCAUCUCCGGGGGUAGAGCACUGUUUCGGCAAGGGGGUCAUCCCGACUUACCAACCCGAUGCAAACUGCGAAUACCGGAGAAUGUUAUCACGGGAGACACACGGCGGGUGCUAACGUCCGUCGUGAAGAGGGAAACAACCCAGACCGCCAGCUAAGGUCCCAAAGUCAUGGUUAAGUGGGAAACGAUGUGGGAAGGCCCAGACAGCCAGGAUGUUGGCUUAGAAGCAGCCAUCAUUUAAAGAAAGCGUAAUAGCUCACUGGUCGAGUCGGCCUGCGCGGAAGAUGUAACGGGGCUAAACCAUGCACCGAAGCUGCGGCAGCGACACUAUGUGUUGUUGGGUAGGGGAGCGUUCUGUAAGCCUGUGAAGGUGGCCUGUGAGGGUUGCUGGAGGUAUCAGAAGUGCGAAUGCUGACAUAAGUAACGAUAAAGCGGGUGAAAAGCCCGCUCGCCGGAAGACCAAGGGUUCCUGUCCAACGUUAAUCGGGGCAGGGUGAGUCGACCCCUAAGGCGAGGCCGAAAGGCGUAGUCGAUGGGAAACAGGUUAAUAUUCCUGUACUUGGUGUUACUGCGAAGGGGGGACGGAGAAGGCUAUG